UCGAGCGGUAGCACAGGAGAGCUUGCUCUCUGGGUGACGAGCGGCGGACGGGUGAGUAAUGUCUGGGAAACUGCCUGAUGGAGGGGGAUAACUACUGGAAACGGUAGCUAAUACCGCAUAACGUCUACGGACCAAAGUGGGGGACCUUCGGGCCUCACGCCAUCAGAUGUGCCCAGAUGGGAUUAGCUAGUAGGUGGGGUAAUGGCUCACCUAGGCGACGAUCCCUAGCUGGUCUGAGAGGAUGACCAGCCACACUGGAACUGAGACACGGUCCAGACUCCUACGGGAGGCAGCAGUGGGGAAUAUUGCACAAUGGGCGCAAGCCUGAUGCAGCCAUGCCGCGUGUGUGAAGAAGGCCUUAGGGUUGUAAAGCACUUUCAGCGAGGAGGAAGGGUAGUGUGUUAAUAGCACAUUGCAUUGACGUUACUCGCAGAAGAAGCACCGGCUAACUCCGUGCCAGCAGCCGCGGUAAUACGGAGGGUGCAAGCGUUAAUCGGAAUUACUGGGCGUAAAGCGCACGCAGGCGGUUUGUUAAGUCAGAUGUGAAAUCCCCGCGCUUAACGUGGGAACUGCAUUUGAAACUGGCAAGCUAGAGUCUUGUAGAGGGGGGUAGAAUUCCAGGUGUAGCGGUGAAAUGCGUA
rnacentral:rRNA from 1 species